rnacentral:hammerhead_ribozyme from 1 species
AUCCAGCUGAUGAGUCUCAAAUAGGACGAAGCGCGCAUCCUGGAU